rnacentral:lncRNA from 13 species
CACUGCUUGUGCUGAUGAAAGUCAGAGAGCCGCUGACAGAGUUUAGGAGUUCACACAAACAGUUGUUUUUAUGAUUUUGAAACUCUACAGAUUGGGAGCAACCUGAAGAAUGUAAUCCGGGCCUUUCGUCUGUUCGACUACAACCCAAGACGGACAUGUCCAGCAACACGAGCUGCGCAGGAUACUGGAGAACUACUGCUUCCCCUUAACACAGAGAGACUACCAGAGACUGUGGACCCACUAAAGCCCUAACGACAUGGCAACAAUGUCCUACAAAGUGUUCCUGGAGAAGCUGGGCCUGGAAUCUAUCAAGUACAGGAAGUUUGUCCCGGAGCCUCCAAAGCUAGCGUUGGGCUGGCAAGGAAUUAGUCCUCCAAACAUGACAAAACAAAGGAACAGAGCAGCGUCCCAGAAUGCAACAGGAGAUACACAGGAGAUCCAAGGCCU